rnacentral:tRNA from 1 species
GCAUCGGUGGUCUAGUGGUAGAAUGCUCGCCUGCCACGCGGGCGGCCAGGGUUCGAUUCCCGGCCGAUGCA